AGCCGCCGCGGUAAUACGUAGGGUGCAAGCGUUAAUCGGAAUUACUGGGCGUAAAGCGUGCGCAGGCGGUUUUGUAAGACAGAGGUGAAAUCCCCGGGCUCAACCUGGGAACUGCCUUUGUGACUGCAAGGCUAGAGUACGGCAGAGGGGGAUGGAAUUCCGCGUGUAGCAGUGAAAUGCGUAGAUAUGCGGAGGAACACCGAUGGCGAAGGCAAUCCCCUGGGCCUGUACUGACGCUCAUGCACGAAAGCGUGGGGAGCAAACAGGAUUAGAUACCCCCGUAGUCCCUGUCUCUUAUACA
rnacentral:rRNA from 1 species